rnacentral:rRNA from 1 species
UACAGAGGUCUCAAGCGUUGUUCGGAUUUACUGGGCGUAAAGGGCGCGUAGGCGGCCACGACAAGUCAGUUGUGAAAUCUCUGGGCUUAACUCAGAACGGUCAACUGAUACUGUCGGGCUAGAGUGCAGAAGGGGCAACUGGAAUUCUCGGUGUAGCGGUGAAAUGCGUAGAUAUCGAGAGGAACACCUGCGGCGAAGGCGGGUUGCUGGGCUGACACUGACGCUGAGGCGCGAAAGCUAGGGGAGCGAACGGG